AGCGGACAGAUGGGAGCUUGCUCCCUGAUGUUAGCGGCGGACGGGUGAGUAACACGUGGGUAACCUGCCUGUAAGACUGGGAUAACUCCGGGAAACCGGGGCUAAUACCGGAUGGUUGUUUGAACCGCAUGGUUCAAACAUAAAAGGUGGCUUCGGCUACCACUUACAGAUGGACCCGCGGCGCAUUAGCUAGUUGGUGAGGUAACGGCUCACCAAGGCAACGAUGCGUAGCCGACCUGAGAGGGUGAUCGGCCACACUGGGACUGAGACACGGCCCAGACUCCUACGGGAGGCAGCAGUAGGGAAUCUUCCGCAAUGGACGAAAGUCUGACGGAACAACGCCGCGUGAGUGAUGAAGGUUUUCGGAUCGUAAAGCUCUGUUGUUAGGGAAGAACAAGUACCGUUCAAAUAGGGCGGUACCUUGACGGUACCUAACCAGAAAGCCACGGCUAACUACGUGCCAGCAGCCGCGGUAAUACGUAGGUGGCAAGCGUUGUCCGGAAUUAUUGGGCGUAAGGGCUCGCAGGCGGUUUCUUAAGUCUGAUGUGAAAGCCCCCGGCUCAACCGGGGAGGGUCAUUGGAAACUGGGGAACUUGAGUGCAGAAGAGGAGAGUGGAAUUCCACGUGUAGCGGUGAAAUGCGUAGAGAUGUGGAGGAACACCAGUGGCGAAGGCGACUCUCUGG
rnacentral:rRNA from 1 species